UUUAAACGUUUAAACUGUCUUGUCAAUUUUCACCAUGAAUAUUUUAAAGAACUUCCUAUUCGUCUUGGUCAUUUUAGCCAUUUCUAUGUUUGCUACUGAUGCGGCCAAUCAAUCGAAAAUCAGUGGUGCAAAUCAACAACCCGCAGGCAAUAAGGGAAAUAAAGUCGAUGCCAAGGGAGCCACUGGCAAUAAAUCGAAUAAGCAAGGAUAAAUACAAUGAUAAAUGAAUAAAUUCAACUUUCAUUAGGUUAAAAGUCCUGAUUUUGUAUUAUGUUUCAUAAGUUUAAUAAAUAUUUAAAUUUUUUGCAUUAAUA